GAUGAACGCUGGCGGCGUGCCUAAUACAUGCAAGUGGCGCGACGAACCAAAGCUUGCUCUGGGGCAAAGACGCGAACGGGUGAGUAACACGUAGGUAACCUGCCGCGAUGACUGGGACAGCCCGAGGAAGCCCGGGAUAAUACACGAUGAUGCAUCGCGGCUCAAGACGGGACGCCAAAGGUAGCUGCGGCUUCCGCAUCAGGAAGGGCCCGCGGCCCAUUAGCCUGUUGGUGGGGUAAUGGCCUACAAAAGCAACGAUGGGUAGCUGGUCUGAGAGGACGAUCAGCCAGACUGGGACUGAGACACGGCUCAGACUCCCACGGGAGGCAGCAGUGGGGAAUCGUGCGCAAUGCGCGAAAGCGUUACGCAGCAACACCGCGUGAGGGAAGACGGCCUUAGGGUUGUAAAACUCUGUUGUUAGGGAAGAACAAGUGCUAGUUGAAUAAGCUGGCACCUUGACGGUACCUAACCAGAAAGCCACGGCUAACUACGUGCCAGCAGCCGCGGUAA
rnacentral:rRNA from 1 species